GAAGGAGCUUUGCCCAGUUCAUCCUGGGACUAGAAGAGAAUUGUUUAGGAGGAAUAAUGUUCAAAUUUCUAUCUUGGCAAGACGCUUCUAGGGAAUUAUUCCUUCUGUCAUUGCUACAAGUUGGUCAUAUAACCUCCCUUGAAAACAACCCACUUCCCAAGGGUUAUACUAACGUAGAAGAACCACCUCGGAUGAACUCUCAGAUGUCAGAUAUCCUGACCUUCUAUGUGGUUGCCUUAGAAUAGGAAAUAUAAUAAGUUUCUUAUCCAUUGGUAAAUGUUGCUCAAGGAAGCUUAAAGCCUCUUUAUCAGUCUCAAGGUUUCUUAGAAAGAUCCCCAUUGUCUAAGCUGCACCCUAAGCAAAUCCAGCUAGCGUCUUCCUAUGUUUGUGGGAGGGAAGCCUGCUGACGCUACCAUUGAUUCCUAGUUGUGUUCCUCACGUCUGAGAGAACGUGUGCUGUCUACUUACCGGACAAGGACAUCUACCUUUCUAAGUGCCAGCUGCUCUUAAUGGCUGAGCAAUAUGACCAAGAGACAAGGCAAAUGAAAAAGUCUGUGAAGGGGGAGGGGCUAAAGGAGAAGCAAUGUGUCUAGGAACCAUAAUGCUAUGGCUACCACAUGGAUUGGUGACCAAGUCCCUGAGAUUCUUUCCAGUGAGGUUCAUCAUUGCAAACAGAUGAGCUAUGGGGUACCGUCAUAACAUCUAUCGCUCAUACCCAUUUCCUGCCUCAGUGUCUUGCUGCAUGUGAAACUCCUUCAUGCUUCUAUAACACAGAUGCUGGGAAUUCAGUGUCUUGUAUGAUGGUUUGUGGAUAAUGAUGCAAAACUGCAUGUUUCUUAAUUGCAAGCAACAGUAGUAGAAAAUGUUAGUCAACCUAGGUUAACUCUAUGGAACAUUUCCCAUGGGAAGAGGAAUAUUCUGAGUCUACCCGAGAUUCUGAGAAUAGUUUUGCUAGAGAGCUUUGGCAACAUGGCUGCCCAUGCUUGUGAACCAGAGCUGAGCACCAAGACCUGCAGAUCUGGUAGUAAGAACACCGGUCCCUUGUGUGCAGUAGGAGGAGAGAGGAGCCCAGUUGGUAAAAAUAUCCAUAGCAUAUUCUCUCUCUGUCUCUCUGUCUCUCUCUGUCUCCCCUUCCCUCCCUCCCUCCCCCCCCUCUCUCUCACACACACACACACACACACACACACACCACAGCAAACCUUCUGUGUAGAGUACACCAGGGACUUGUGGCCUUCACCUUCCGCCUCGGUCUGCUGACCACCUCCCACCUCUCACUGCAUCUGAUUUCCCGCACAUCACAGAUUUCUCAGGAACAAGGCCUGGCCCCUUGGUCAUUUCAAGCUUGUUGAGCCUUCAUGAGUCCUAACCACAUACCAGCUUUCUAAAUUGAGAAGGUGAUGAAUUUUUAAAUUCCCGAACCUGCUCUGUAAUAAUCUUUGCUCCAUCCCACACAUUACGAUGCAGGAAGGCAACAGAUGUGUUUUCUUAUGACUCUGAGAACAUGAAAUAUUGAUGGGGAGGAGAGCAUGGGCUUGGUAUUGAGACUCAUCCACGGUAAAAGGUAGCAGUUCUCAUCCAGCCUUCACAUUCUGUGCUCUCUUCCUGGAUGCUUAGGACCAGAAGAAAGUCCCCAACCUGGGAUACCCAAGUCUAACUCAAUGAAUUCUCUAAAGAGCUGCGCAGUGAAAUCUGUCUAAAAAGGUCUUUAUCAGUCUCCGGGGACUAAUCGCUAAUGCAGCUGAUACACAUUUGAUCUACACAGAAGAUUUUCCCUUUGUCCCCAAGGGAAUCUUGGCAAACACUGGGUUUACACAGUGCCAAGCCCGAGUUGCCUGUUAGAAAAUAAAUAGCAUUUUAACACAUUCAAGCAUCAGUCCUCAGGAUGAGAAGCAGUGUAGGGAUCUUCUCUGGGCUUUCUAGCUAGGCUAUAGGACAUGAUGAAAACUUCAUUUUUAAAGUAUUUCUUUUCCCGGUGACAGUUUGCUCGGAGGCACGGCAUUCUGAGGGGGGAAGGCACAAAGUAAUACUGUUAUAUUUUUAAUGCAGUAAGGAAAAUAAAUGAUGAUAUUUCAGGCAGAAUAAUAUUUCUGGAUACCAACAUGUGGAGAAGCGUAUGAGACGUUCUGUAGAGGCCAUGCCUCCGUAUCCAUUACAUUUGUAGCAUUUAUUAUCAUUCAUAUUGAGAAAAGUAUAGAUACACACAUAGAGAUGUUUAUAUAUAGUUAUAUAUAACCGGCACUGCUGUAAUUUUGUUGAUAUGAUUAGCUACUGUGAGACUAACCUGGGAAGCGUUAAGCCCUGUUGAUCCAAAGUUAAGUAGAAGAGCAGAUAGUAAUAUGGAAAUGCAGCUUCAGCAGGGGCAGGACCCAUUAGCCUGAGCUGCUAAGUUGGUAGAAAGUGCCUAACACUUUGGAAAUGCUGAUCCCCUACCUCUGCAGAGAGCAGAGAGGGGUCAGAGGCAGCUCUGUCUGUCCCCCAGCGCUGACAGGUGUAAAAGCUGUCUCCCCAGUAUGUCUGCCUACAGAUGUCAACAGCAGUGGAUUCCCCAGGGGCCCUGCACACAUUCUGAGAGCACCGGAGUCCCACUCUCCUUGUACUUUUAAAGAGGGAAUUUCCACACCUCUGUGGCGCCUCCUUCAUAAAUGUGGCAGAAGAGAUUUUUGCAGGCCACUCAAAGGACGUGCUUCUCAUAGGGGAUUUCCCCAGCGAGUGGGUGGGAUUCUUCGUUGCAAGGGAAUGGUUUGGAUGUGUCUUGUGAUAUGUAUGUGCCCAAGAUGGAAGGUGAUAGAAAGCCCUGGCUUCUGUCUUGAGUACAGUCCCAGAGUGACAUAAGAAGACAAACGUUCCAAGAGUAAAGUGAGGUGACACGCUGUUCACCUCUUAGUACUGAAGAGCAACAGAGACCCUCAGUUAUCAGGUGUGGACCCAAUCUUGCUUCUUGUGUUCUAGUUAUCCUCCCCAACUCAGAACCAAGGUGGACUCCUCUGGCUCUGCCCAUAACAGGUCCUUCAGCCCUCCAGAACCUUCUGUGGUAAAGUGCCCAGACUUCUACUUCUUCCUGGCAACUAUAAGUUAUCAAGUAUGGACUGUGACCUAUUUUCAUGGACCAAGAAGGGAAAAGUAGAGGAGUGGUCAGUGUCAAACAGCUCAAGUGAUAGAAAGUGACAGCUCCAUAUGGAGAAAGACAUUUCUACACUAAUUCCUCUUCCUAUCCCUACCAGGGAAGCCCUUGCUCUUGUUCGCUCGCCAAUUUCAUCAAUACUAUGAGAGAUUUGGACUUAAAUAAGCAUAUAAGUCCCCACUGGGACUCUUUUAAAAAAAUAUUUUACGUGUAUGGGGGUUUUGCCUGCCUGUAUAUGUGCAUGCUGGAUGUCCUCAGAGACCUGAAGGGGGCAUCAGAUCCCCAGGGAGAGAUGGUUGCCAGCUGCCAUGCAGGUGCUGGGAAUUGAACCCCAGUCCUCUGCAAGAGCAGCCAAUGGUCUUAAGCACUGAGUCAUCUCUCUAGCCCCAAUAUUGCUUUAUAACUUUAAUGUAAAGUGCUUCAGAGACAUAGAAUUGGAAAUGAGCUUCUAAAGCCACAGGGAAACCAUUCCUUCCCAGAUGACUCAUUCUGGCACAGGAUGGCAGAACCAGUGUCCUCACCAAGGACUAAGAGAAGGUUGAAAGGAGACAGCUUCUCCGGAGAGGGGAGGCACAUCAUGGAAAAUAUGAAGAAGCCAUAGUCUACCCCACUUCUGGAGUCUCGCUUUGGACCUUCUACCAGAAGCCUUUUGCUUUCCCACCCAGCCCCCAUGCAGAAUAUUACAGAAUCAGCCACAUUCUGGAGUCAGCUUGUAUGGACAGGAAGCGUGCUCUGAGUCCUUCCUUUAAACAGCUUACCUUGAACUUCAGGGCAUAAGGAUGCCUGCUUUCCCUUUGCUUCAUUUAAGGAAGCUAUUGGGAGGAGGAUUAUCUUGCUCUUUAGUCUUUCUGUCAUCUGAAUUUUUUAAAGCCACCAAUUUAAAGACUGUCUUUGGGGACUGUUCUGUCCUAAAGGGAACAGGAACUAGGUGCCUCAAGCAUUUUCUAGCUGUGUUGGAGGAAAUGACAAGGCUCUCCCCUCAGCUUCCAGGGAGUGCACCCGCGCCUCAGUUGGACAUAUUUUAAAAACAGUCAGAAUUAAGGGAAAAGACUGAGUCCUCAUGC
rnacentral:lncRNA from 1 species